AUUGAACGCUGGCGGCAGGCCUAACACAUGCAAGUCGAGCGAGCGGCGGACGGGUGAGGAAUGUAGGGGGAUCUGCCCGAGAGAGGGGGAUAACGACUGGAAACGGUGGCUAAUACCGCAUACUAUGGGAGGAACCCAUAUGGGAGUAGCUAGGAGGUGGGGUAAAGGCUCACCUAGGCGACGAUCUCUAGCUGGUCUGAGAGGAUGACUACCCACACUGUGACUGAGACACGGCCCAGACUCCUACGGGAGGCAGCAGUGGGGAAUAUUGCACAAUAGGCGCAAGCCUGAUGCAGCCAUGCCGCUUGUAUGAAGAAGGCCUUCGGGUUGUAAAGUACUUUCAGCGGGGAGGCGUUACCCGCAGAAGAAGCACCGGCUAACUCCGUGCCAGCAGCCGCGGUAAUAC
rnacentral:rRNA from 1 species